rnacentral:rRNA from 1 species
CGGACGGGUGAGUAACGCGUGGGUAACCUGCCUUGUACAGGGGGAUAACAGUUGGAAACGGCUGCUAAUACCGCAUAAGCGCACAGCAUCGCAUGAUGCAGUGUGAAAAACUCCGGUGGUAUAAGAUGGACCCGCGUUGGAUUAGCUAGUUGGUGAGGUAACGGCCCACCAAGGCGACGAUCCAUAGCCGACCUGAGAGGGUGACGGCCACAUUGGGACUGAGACACGGCCCAA